rnacentral:misc_RNA from 1 species
AUUACAGUUCUUGUGGCUAUUUAAUUAAAAUAUGUUCUUAACUUUUGAUAAAAAAAAUAUAUAUGUCCUUAACUUUGUUGAUUCUUAUCCAGCUUCUCCUCAUUCCCCACUUCCGGAUGGAGCCUAAGCCUCCUUCAAAGGGAAUGGUAAUCCACUUUGACUGCUAGUGAAUAUGCAGUGAUCAUUAGAGGAUUGAUAAAAAACCAUACUCUUGGAGCUUACUGGUAAACUUUAUAUUCCAUCGCCUGCUAUCAUGUUUAAGCUCA